rnacentral:rRNA from 1 species
UACGUAGGGUGCGAGCGUUAAUCGGAAUUACUGGGCGUAAAGCGUGCGCAGGCGGGCUUUUAAGCCAGACGUGAAAUCCCCGGGCUUAACCUGGGAAUGGCAUUGGAAACUGGCGGGCUUGAGUGUGGCAGAGGGGGGUGGAAUUCCGCGUGUAGCAGUGAAAUGCGUAGAGAUGCGGAGGAACACCCGAGGCGAAGGCGGCUCUCUGGGUCGUACCUGACGCUGAGGCGCGAAAGCGUGGGGAGCGAACGGG